GGAGGAGCAUCAGUCAAACAGCCGCGGUUGCUAGUGCUGCGGCACAGACUCUUAGCGAGGCAGGGGCAAAGUGCAGAGUUAAUUUAAAAGACAAACGGUUACUUAACAUCACUCUCAUUCAGUUUUCCCAUCUGUGUACUGAGGAAGAUAAUGCUUGCAGGGAUGGGGUUAGAAUUGAUGUCUGUAAAGUGCUUUGAAAUCUUGGAUGAACGCUGCUGUAGAACUAGUCUGAUACAAAAAGUGGAUGUGAUUUUGGCAAGCUAUGCAGGGUGUUCUUGGAGUCCUUUUCCCUGCUAUUACUGGGAAUUGAAAUGAGUUAUGCAUAAUCCCUUCCCUAUACACCAUCUAAAAAAAACGCAAACUAUUUUACAGAAACAGAUUUGUGGGGCUUAUACAAUGAAGGUAUGUGUUCUACAUUCAAUGCACAGCAGAGCUGAAAUC